CCUAGUUUGUGAAAACCCAUCUCCUGGAACAUGCAUCUCUCCUGACUACCAGGACUUUAAGUUAACACAGAUGUAGGAACUGCUGUAAAGUGUCAUGCAAAGUUGAAGAAGCCGGCUUCUUCCAAGUUUCAACUGAUAGAAGGAGUUUGAAGGAGUUUCCAACUGUCUGAAGCUGCUCAGCUGCCAUAAUUACACCCCUUUCCUGAGGAACAGCUUAUUCUUACUUACAGCAGGCCAUGUGCAAACCCUAAGAAUGCCUAUAUUCUGAAUAAAUCCAUUCCACAGGACUGGAAAAUCCAUUUUGGCUGGAAAGCUUCAUUUUUCAAGGAGAGAGAGAGAGAACGUGAAUGGAACUUGGA